rnacentral:rRNA from 1 species
UACGUAGGGUGCAAGCGUUAAUCGGAAUUACUGGGCGUAAAGCGUGCGCAGGCGGUGAUGUAAGACAGGUGUGAAAUCCCCGGGCUUAACCUGGGAACUGCAUUUGUGACUGCAUCGCUGGAGUGCGGCAGAGGGGGAUGGAAUUCCGCGUGUAGCAGUGAAAUGCGUAGAUAUGCGGAGGAACACCGAUGGCGCAGGCAAUCCCCUGGGCCUGCACUGACGCUCAUGCACGAAAGCGUGGGGAGCAAACAGG